AUGACCACCACCACUACCUUCAAGGGUGUUAACCCCAACAGCAGGAAUAGCUCCCGGGUUUUGCGGCUGCUGGGUGGUGGAUCCAAUUUUUCAUUGGGUUUUGAUGAACCAACAGAACAACCUGUGAGAAAGAACAAAAUGUCCUCUAGUAUCUUUGGGACACCUGAAGAAAAUCCACCUUCUUGGGCCACAUUGGCAGGUGCCAAGUCUAGAGGUGGCGGAGAAGACUUGGAGUCAUCCGGACUGCAGGGAAGGAACGCUUCUGAAGCAAACUCUGCAGAUUCUUAGAUCUGAAGGGAGAAGGUGACAUUCAUGAAAAUGUGGACACAGACUUGCAAGGCAGCCUGGGGCCGAGGGAAGAGAAGCCUGCACCUGCUGCACCUGUGCUGAGCCCCGUGGCCCUGGCCCCAGGACCAUCCAUAGGAAAUCCCCCUGGUGGCAAGUGCAGCCUCAUCCUGGGUUAA
rnacentral:lncRNA from 1 species